UGGGGCUCGAACCCACGGACCGCGAGAUCAUGACCUGGGCUGAAGUCGGACGCUCAACUGACUGAGCCACCCAGGCACCCCUCUUUAGAGCAUUUUAUCUUAAAUACUUUUUACUCAAGUUUCCCUUGGCUUUUCACAAUUUAUUCCUAGUUCUUUGUAUAUUUCUUACGCUAAACCCUAAUCUCACUAUAUGAAGUGGUUUAAAAAAUUGCAGUUAUUCCUGAUAUACUUUUCCUGGAGAAGACCUAAAGUCCUAGGUGUGGAGCGGGGGUAGUAGGGAAGGAAAAUGAAGGAGGGGAAGGAUGGGAUCACAGUGGAUGAUGUGACGUGAGGCUUAAUUUCUUGGUUCAACCAAAGGGAUGAAAGAGAAAAUUUAUUCCUUUAUACUACCCUCCACGUUUUGGUCUCUGAGGGUCCAAACUGACAACUCCUAAAAUACCAGCAACCUAACAAAUUUGUGAUAUACCUCAUAUUACAGUGGUUCCCAAGUCAUUCUGGUCAAAUGAACUAAUUAGCUGCAGUGCAGAUGAUCGUGGAACUGGUGUGCUACUCGCUUGGAAACACUCAGACGUAGUAGGAUUUCUAUUCAAUAGCUCUUUCUCUGCACAUUGAGUUAAUCUUUGAAAUCCAUGGAUGAGAAGGUUCAAGGAGCAUCUUCUUUCCUAGAAGGUGAUGUUAAUACAGCUGUUUGGAUAAAACUGCAUGACAUUAUCUGAAUUUAACUGUCCAUGCACUAGUUCCACAAAAGGUAAUGUGCAUGUGAGUAUACUCUACAUCAAUUUGAUGGUGGAUAGAUUCAGUUUAAACACACACAGAAAGUCUUUCCAUAUGAUUUUUUCCCAUGCAAGUUUUAAAAUACUUAACUAAUAUUUUGUGAGGGAAAACAAUAUUAUAUUGUUUUUAUAAAACACUUACAGACAAAAUACUUAUAGACAAAAUAAGUAUUAAAUACUUAUAGACAAAACUCACUGGCAUUUGGUCUUAGUAAAAUAUUUUUAAAUUUGUUGUUUUUCAAAUUCAUUUUAAUUAGUUCCAUUACAUAAUCUAUUGUUACAUCUCUCUGAACUUUUUUCAAAAAUAAAGUGAAUUAUAAUAUGCAACACAUGCCGCUAAAACAGAACUGCUUCCACUUUAUGUGGCUGUAGUUUUAGGCACACCAUCAAAUUGACUGAUGUUUAACUUUCUCUGUUAGAUAAAAAGGGAUUAACUAAAAUUUCUGUGGUUGUGGAACAUUACUUCAUGGUGCUAUAUACUGUACUUUCUACUAGUAUGUGAUAAUAAAAACUGUCAGGAACUCUGAGGAAAGAAGACAAAUUAUAAAAAAAACCCUGCUUAUUGAAAAUGUUACCUUUCAAUAGUCUCAACUAUUAUUAACAGUUCAAGAAAUACAAAGUCUUGGCAGAGUAUUUCAAGCUGAGAGUUGUGUCUCUAACCAUGAAAGCAAAAACAUACUUUUAAGACACUAAGCUAUAAUAUUUGAGAAAGUGAAAAAGUAUGAUCUUGCUUUGUAAAAUAUGUUUGUCCUUUUGUUGUUGCUAUAGAAAUAAGAAUAGAAAUGCUUUUAAUUUUUUAAAAGACUAUUUGUGAGUCAGAUAAUUUUAGGUGAAUGUUUCAUUAAAGGAAAUGUCCAUUUACCUCUGAUGCUGAUUCAGUUCCCGUAUUGUUUAUGUCCUCAAUCUAUUGAAUGAGAAUUUCAUAUCAUUACAUUACAUUGAGUUUCUGCUUUUUGUUUUUAAACAUACAAUUGAAAAGUAAUUUAGUUGUGAAUUAUAGUAAAUUUUCAAAUGCAUAAUUUUAAAAAUAUUUUUAUUUUGCUGCAAAUUAGUCCUUUUAUGUGGAGAUUAAACCUUAUAUUCAUUUUUAUAUUUUGACAUCAAAAUCAAUAUAUGGGGAAUUGUAUAUUAAGAAAAAUUAAGAUAAAGCCUACCUUUGUAAUUCUAUAAUGUGAAUGGACCAAACAGUUAUGACCUGUCUGUAAGCUUACAAGCAGCAAUUAUUAAUUAAAUUAGUAACUUAAACUGA